GAUCGUUUUCAGCAUAGUCUCUGUCCGCUGUAACCUGCUUGUGGUACGGAAAAGAAAAAGAAAGAACUUCAGGCGUAUCUUACAACUGCGUAGUUGAGAAGCCCGUUAAAUGAGAGCUUCGCAAAGCUGGUUGCGUUGUGGUUGAAAAAAUCGAGCAUUGGUAUCUGCUAACGCCGCGUUAUAAUAAUGUACACAAGGACGUAAACAGAAAUAAAGGGAGACAUAGCAUUACUAAUGUUGUCGAGUCCUCUCCAAUGGCUAGUGAACGAGAAAAAACUGCAGCAAAGGCAGGACGAACAAAACUAGCAAGAAACAAGCUUGCUUCCUGUACCUGUGGCGUAUACAUGCUUCAAGUCUUCAAGAGACACCUUACCGAAUAGUUGAGGCCAAACAUCAAGUGCCUGCUCCAGUACACAGGUACAAAAGUCCUUCAAGCAUCAAAGUAAAAAAUUUCCUCCUUGAAUAAAACCAUUCGGAAAAGAAAAAAAACAGUAAGAAAACUAAGUGAAUGAAAGCUUGCAAAAUAGAAAACUACCCGAAGUACUUACGUUUUGCACUUGGCCAAACUCAGUUGUUAUCAUUUCCAGCCGCUCACGAGCCUUGCCGUAUAAAGGGCUCGCCCUCAAGUAACUUAGCUCGGUGUCCUCCCAACGAAACUACGCACUUGAAAACUUUGAGAAACAAAAACUCGAUAGUCCAGUACCGUGUUGUCGAGCUCCGCUGGUUGAGGAAGACACGAGAUGUAUGGUGCCCAUACUGACGAGAAAGAUUUAGCAAAGCGAAGACGAAAAUGUUGAGAGUAAACUUGCCUGGCCUUUGUAGCGUUCCAUGAGGACAAUAAGAGCAAGUUUGGUCCACGGCUUAACAGUGCUGGGCAAAACCGUGCUGAGCUGGUCAGGAAGAUCGCUAGGAGCUAUCAUCUGGACGUAAACAAGAACCAACAUUAUCCCCUGCGCCAUAGACUCAUCAAUGAAUCAAAAGGAAAAAACUAAAAACCGAUACUCGACCUGCCCGCCAGAUUCUCGCGAAGUCCCAAUGCGCACCGCCGAUGGAUCGCCAUCAUCGUUCCGGCUCGCGAGCCACGACAUAAAACCUGCGUAGCCAUUGCUCAGCUUCCGCUGCGCCUGGUUCUGGAAUAAUCACGCCCAGAACUCGCGAAAGCGAUCGAUCCACAGUCGAUCUGUCAGCGUACCUGAAGCGCCCAACAGCUCCUCGAGAUCGAUCCAGCCGCGCCGGGAAGAAGAAGAAUCCUGGGCGGCCUACAUUUCUCCUCUCCAAAACCAAAACAUAUGUAUUGCCACGUCAUGGGAAAGCGUCGCUGAUGUGGCAGAUUCUCGUGCUUGCCACGUAUUGAGUGCCUGCCACGUGGCAAUCGUAUGAGCUACAAACCCCGUGAUUAGCUCCACAACAAACACCCAACACUUCUACCGGAGUUUUGUCAUGAAGAGCCUGUGGAAAUUGUACCGGAACUGGAUCUAGUUGCUCAUCCUUAAGUCCAGGAAUUCCGAGCUGGUAGUCGCGAUUCUUUCCCCACGUAUAUAGUUCCCCACACUCUGAAAGCAUAUGAGCAUUUCUUAAGGCUACUAACAAGUGAUUGCUGCUGUCCAAGCUGGUCGACAAGCAAUGUAAGGAAACUGGGGAAAAAAAACCGCGACGCAGCAAGCUUCCGAGAUGAGUUGAUGUUGAACCAUAUGGUGUCGUUCUUGCCAAAGUCGGACCUCCUCACCACCUGUGAGUGGGCAAGAACGUACUUGUGUGGCUGCUGCUCUCGGCCGGAGAGUCAAUCUCGAUGUUACUGAGCCGCAUCCACAACACAGAGCGCAGAGUCUUUGUGUCGAGCAGCAUCAAAGUGUUGGGGACGUGACUGCACAGCACCAGUUUCGUACAAAUGGACGGUUUCCCGACUUUCACUCCACCCAGAGACAAGGUUUGCAUUUACAAAGAUGGAGAUCACAAAAGUACCACUUUUGUUCAUGCAUUUGUCUCUUUUUACUUUGGCAGAUUCACAGUCAUGUAUCUCUCCAGGAGGAGCUAGCUUGCUCAAGUCGGUCGAUGAUCCCAGAACGCUCAACAAGGCUCUUUACGCUCGCUCGAAUGACCGGGAGCACGCUUGAAAAGAGGUGGAUGAGCGAGGAUGGAUUCUUCUACACAUCAAUGGUGAGAGUUUUCAUUUGUGAGGUCUACUGAUGGGAUUGCUUGGUUUUGCAAUCCCGUCAGUAGACUGGGCUAAGUAUUAAUUACCAAGGAAGCAGUGUAAACAAGCUUAAUGUUGUUACUUUAAUGCUUAAGUAGACUAAUAUUUAGAAAGUUUUAAUCUUCAUUUUACAAACAAAAUUUGGCUAAUGGGUUUUUUUUUUUUUUUUUGCUAUUUUUUUCAGUAAAUUGCAAAUUGUUGAAGGCAUGAAUAGCUUUGCUGUUGACCAUAUUGUGACUCAACUACAGUGUUAAUAAACUGUGAUUGUCCUGGAAGUAAAUGUGCACCAAUCUUAGCUAACUCAUCCGCAACCUGAUUUCCAACGAUGUCAUAGUGCCCCUUCACCUUACAAAAAUGAACUGGAACAAAUGAUGUUCCUGCAAGCCAAACAAUCGUCUGGAUGAUAUCUGCAUUUGGGUGGUGACCCAGGGCUAUUGGAUCUUGCACAUACAUCUCCAGCAGCGUCAAGGAGUCAUAACUGUCGGUGUAUACAAAGACUGGCUCCCACAAUCCCCAGUGCCAUUCCAUCUCCAAACAAAUUUCAAGGGCUCGCAUCAAACCCAACAGCUCAAACGUGAUAGUGGAGGAACUUGUAUGUAAGUUGUCGUUUGCCCUUCUUCCACAAGCGAGUCGCAUAGAAACUCUCGAGAUAAACACUCCAUAACCUCCGAAAACUCUGCGCUUGAAAGAUCCAUCAGUAAAAGCUUGUAAUCCAUGAUCGCUAGCUACCAUUUCCCACGUACGCAUGACCUUGUCCACCUCAAACAUAUUUCACUUGCUCGCCUUUAAUGCUCUCUUCCUGUUCUGAAAAGUAUACCUAACCCAAAAAGGCAAUCGCAUUUUAUAUAAGCUAUGGAAAUAAUGUUUUAAUUUGGAAAUUCGAAGUGUCCCUGAGGACGAAGAUGAUGCACGAUCCGAUAGACCAACAGCUCUAGAAACCUGCCAAUGCGACUUAGAAACUUCAUCCUUUCGUCUGGAUCGAGCCUGCAAUCAGGAAAGCUGAUCACACUAUCGCUUGCUGUUUAGAACUUGAAGAAAAGCCAGAAGGAAAAAAGCAGCGUUAGCAGGAGAGAUCAGCAUGGCAGCCGGGGGCGGCGAUCUUAUAUGGCAGUCGCUCCUCCUGUCGUUUUCCAACCGCCUCAUCCGACGCAUGCACGCGCUUACCGAUUUAUAUUCCACGGCUUACACCAAGCAACGCUGUGCUUUCCUGGAGAAAAACAAGGCCUUCACAAAACCAGAAAAAGAUCUUGUCUCCCAAAGUUAUGCCUGGCGUGUGCCAUCCAGCCGAAAUGCUUCACGCUCUUUAAAACUCUCAGCUCACCAUCUAGGACGCGUUUUCUUUUUUUCUUGCAAGAAAUGCUCAUAUGCUUUCAGAGAAUGGGGAUCUAUAUACGUGGGGAAAGAAUCGCGACUACCAGCUCGGAAUUCCUGGACUUAAGGAUGAGCAACUAGAUCCCGUUUUGGUACAAUUUCCACAGGCUCUUCAUGAGAAAACUCCGGUAGAAGUGUUGGGUGUUUCUUGUGGAGCUAAUCACGGGGUUUGUAUUGUUUCGAGACCCAAACCAGCUCAGGUAACACAGAGCUUGUAACAUUGGAAUUCGUAAACAAAGACGCGAUGGUAAGGUGAUAAUCCUGGAUGUCAGCUCCACUAUGAAGAAGGCUUACACUGUGAUGAUUCUUCCAUUUGGUUUUGAUUUUGAGUGAGUAUGGAGCCCAAGAGCAGGAUUCUGAUCGUUGGAGCUACGGGAUACAUCGGCAAGUACAUCGCUACUGCUAGUAUUCAAUCGGGUCAUCCAACUAGUAUACUAGUUCGUCCACAGGUACUUUCAAGCUAUCUAUAUUUCUUCUUUGAUCUCUGGGGUGAGUUUCAGGUGUCAAAACAUGUUGAUAAAGUCCGGUUCCUGGUUGGGCUAAGAAAAGCCGGAGCAACGAUUUACACCGUACUAGCUAUCAUCAGUUACUUGGUGUUGGUUCACUUACAUUUCUGCUUUUUGGAAACCAGUGCUUUCUGGAAGACCGAGAGGAUCUUGUGCGAAUAUUACAGCAAGUCGAUGUUGUGAUCUGCGCUCUUGGGGAAGAUCAACUAAAGCUCCAGUACGAUCUCAUCAGAGCCGUGAAAGAAGCUGGAAACAUCAAGGUGAAGUUUACGGUUUUCAAGUGAAUCCCGACUUACACAGUUGUCUUCUCCAGAAGUUCUACCCCUCCGAGUUUGGGAUGGACGCGGAUAGGAUCUGCAAGGACCAGUCCAUUCCCGAGAGCCCCAUGUAUAGGGACAAGGUAGCUAUCCGGAGAGCCAUCGAAGCAGCAGGAAUUCCUCAUACGUUUUUCAUGGCGAACUGUAUCAUGGGGCUCAUGCUCGCCAGUUUCGUACAAAUGGACGGUUUCCCGACUUUCACUCCACCCAGAGACAAGGUUUGCAUUUACAAAGAUGGAGAUCACAAAGGUACCAGUUUUGUUGUUUCUAGAUCAUGCAUUUGUCUCUUUUUACUUUGGCGGAUUCACAGUCAUGUAUAUCUCCGAGGAGGACCUCGCAACUUACUUGCUCAAGUCGGUCGAUGAUCCCAGAACACUCAACAAGGCUCUUUACGUUCGCCCUCCCGGAAACGCCUUGACAAUGAACGAGCAAGUAGCAUUGUGGGAAGAAAUGACCGGCAGCACCCUUGAAAAGAGGUGGAUGAGUGAGGAGGAGGUUCUUCUACACAUCAACGGUGAGAGCUUUCAUUUGCGAGGUCUACUGACGGGAUUGUUUGGUUUUGCAGAUGCUCAAACUCCAUUGCAGCUCAGAGAGGUGUGGACGCGCAUCUAUCACGUUUUUUACAAUGGAGCUAUGUGCUUCGAGUUGGCUCCGGAUGAUAUUGAAGCCACUGCUUUGUAUCCUGAGGUAGAGUAUACUUCUCCACAAGUAUAUCUCAAGCCUUAUGUGUGCUGAUUCCUUGAUCAACAUCCUUGAUCAACACGGAGCUUCAACAAUGAAUACUAACUUGCUCCACGUAUCAAGCAGAAACGUGCACGGCAAUCUUGAAAAUGUUCUGGAGGCAAACUCCAUAAGUUCAAUAAUGUUAGUUUUCUUCUCUCAGGAAUCCAAAGUGUUUGGUUACGAAGAUCUUAUUCACAUUUUCACACUUGUUCCUGCACAACCAGCUAGAGGUCUCUUUUGUCACUAAAGUAGUGAGUGAAGGAGGUGUCAUUGAGCAACUUUUCCUUGAGAGUUUUAGGCAGCAAGAUGUGUACGUCGACACUGCUGCUUUGAUCGAUUGAUCUGAGCUGGAAAAAGUGCUACAAACGAUGGCAGACAAGAGAAUGCAAGACUGAGCUAAUGCACCACCCCGCCACCCAAAAUCAUUGCCUGGAAACCUCCACAGAGCUGUGCUAUAAUGCAUUGAUGCCAGCAUUGCCCCAGGAAAGUCCAGCUACGUAGAGCUUGUGGUCUAAAAUUUAAAAAGCUAAGCAUUACUUACCACCAAGGAAGCAAUGCUCAAGAAAAUUAGCAUUUAGAAAGUUUUAAUCUUCAUUUUACAAACAAAAUUUGGCUAAUGGUUUUUUUUUUUGCUUUUUGUUUUUCAGUAAAUCACAAAUUGUUGAGGGCGUGAAUAGCUUUGCUGCUGACCAUAUUGUGACUCAACUACAGUGUUAAUAAACUGUGAUUGUCCUGGAAGUAAAUGUGCACCAAUCUUAGCUAACUCAUCUGCAACCUGAUUUCCAGCGAUGUCGUAAUGCCCCUUCACCUUACAAAAAUGAACUGGAACAAGUGAUGUUCCUGCAAGCCAAACUAUCGUCUGGAUGAUAUCUGCAUUUGGGUGGCGACCCAGGGCUAUUGGAUCUUGCACAUACAUCUCCAGCAGUGUCAAGGAGUCAUAACUGUCGGUGUAUACAAAGACUGGCUCCCACAAUCCCCAGCGCCAUUCCAUCUCUAAACAGAUUUCGAGGGCUCGCAUCAAACCCAACAGCUCAAACGUGAUAGUGGAGCUUGUAUGUAAGUUGUCGUUUGCCCUUCUUCCACAAGCGAGUCGCAUGGAAACUCUCGGGAUAAACACUCCAUAACCUCCGAAAACCCCGCGUUUGAAGGAUCCGUCAGUAAAAGCCUGCAAUCCAUGAUCGCUGGCUACCAUUUCUUGAGUACGCACGACCUUGUCCACCUCAAACAUAUUUCACUUGCUUGCCUUUAAUGCUCUCUUCCUGUUCUGGAAAGUAUACCUAACCCAAAAAGGCAAUCGCAUUUUAUAUAAGCUAUGGAAAUAAUGCUUUAAUUUGGAAAUUCGAAGCGUCCCUGAGGACGAAGAUGAUGCACGUUCCGAUAGACCAACAGCCCUAGAAACCUGCCAAUACGACUUAGAAACUUCAACCUUUCGUCUGGAUCGAGCCUGCAAUCAGGAAAGCUGGUCACGCUAUCGCUCGCUGUUUAGAACUUGAAGAAAAGCCAGAAGGAAAAAGCAGCGUUAGCAGGAGAGAUCAGCAUGGCAGCCGGGGGCGGCGAUCUUAUACGGCAGUUGCUCCUCCCGUCGUUUUCCAACCGCCUCAUCCGACGCAUGCACGCGCUUACCGAUUUAUAUUCCACGGCUUACACCAAGCAACGCUGUGCUUUCCUGGAGAAAAACAAGGCCUUCACAAAACCAGAAAAAGAUCUUGUCUCCCAAAGUUAUGCCUGGCAUGUGCCAUUCAGCCGAAAUGCUUCACGCUCUUUAAAACUCUCAGCUCACCAUCUAGGACGCGGCAGCUAGAAGUUGUCUACUUCUCGACCUCCAUGAGUGUUGAUUUAGUUCCUGCCAGACGGUGUUAGGGCCCAACCAGGAUUGAUUUUUCAUGCGUCUCGAUUCGCCGUGCUACUUCCAGGCACACAGGAGAACCUUGAAGUGGUUUUUGACCCCUGAGAAGCACAAACAAUGUGUCUCUUCAAAGAAAAAGGAAUGUGUUUUACAGCGUGUUUCCGCCAAGUUGAUCUUUAAUUAUCGUGUUCAUUUCCGGGAAUUGCGUCAAUAGCUCAGUCUGCGGUUUGUGAAAAGUGAUUCAGCACCACACCUCUUAGCACGCUCAUUACCUCGUCAUACGGAUUUUCAGGCACAGUGAAGCCAUAAUCAAGUGCAAGCUCUGCGUUUGAAAGAUCACCAUAGUUUAUCCAAAUCUGCGAAGCCGAAUGAAACAUGAAAACAAAACAAAGACCACUGCCUCUACCUGAUCGUUUUCAGCAUAGUCUCUGUCCGCUGUAACCUGCUUGUGGUACGGAAAGGAAAAAGAAAGAACUUCAGGCGUAUCUUACAACUGCGUAGUUGAGAAGCCCGUUAAAUGAGAGCUUCGCAAAGCUGGUUGCGUUGUGGUUGAAAAAAUCGAGCAUUGGUAUCUGCUAACGCCGCGUUAUAAUGUACACAAGGACGUAAACAGAAUUAAAGGGAGACAUACCAUUACUAAUGUCGAGUCCUCUCCAAUGGCUAGUGAACGAGAAAAAACUGCAGCAAAGGAAGGACGAACAAAACUAGCAAGAAACAAGCUUGCUUCCUGUACCUGUGGCGUAUACAUGCUUCAAGUCUUCAAGAGACACUUUACCGAAUAGUUGAGGCCAAACAUCAAGUGCCUGCUCCAGUACACAGGUACAAAAAUCCUUCAAGCAUCAAAGUAAAAAAUUUCC
rnacentral:lncRNA from 1 species